rnacentral:rRNA from 1 species
AACGAACGCUGGCGGCAUGCCUAAUACAUGCAAGUCGAACGAGCCCUUCGGGGUUAGUGGCGCACGGGUGCGUAACGCGUGGGAAUCUGCCCUUGGGUUCGGAAUAACGUCUGGAAACGGACGCUAAUACCGGAUGACGACGAAAGUCCAAAGAUUUAUCGCCCAGGGAUGAGCCCGCGUAGGAUUAGCUAGUUGGUGAGGUAAAGGCUCACCAAGGCGACGAUCCUUAGCUGGUCUGAGAGGAUGAUCAGCCGCACUGGGACUGAGACACGGCCCAGACUCCUACGGGAGGCAGCAGUAGGGAAUAUUGGACAAUGGGGGCAACCCUGAUCCAGCAAUGCCGCGUGAGUGAUGAAGGCCUUAGGGUUGUAAAGCUCUUUUACCCGGGAUGAUAAUGACAGUACCGGGAGAAUAAGCCCCGGCUAACUCCGUGCCAGCCGCCGCCGUAAAAC